CAUGCAGUCGACGAUGACUANUCUAGCUUGCUAGUGAUAGAUUAGUGGCGGACGGGUGAGUAACAUUUAGGAAUCUGCCUAGUAGUGGGGGAUAGCUCGGGGAAACUCGAAUUAAUACCGCAUACGACCUACGGGUGAAAGGGGGCGCAAGCUCUUGCUAUUAGAUGAGCCUAAAUCAGAUUAGCUAGUUGGUGGGGUAAAGGCCCACCAAGGCGACGAUCUGUAACUGGUCUGAGAGGAUGAUCAGUCACACCGGAACUGAGACACGGUCCGGACUCCUACGGGAGGCAGCAGUGGGGAAUAUUGGACAAUGGGGGCAACCCUGAUCCAGCCAUGCCGCGUGUGUGAAGAAGGCCUUUUGGUUGUAAAGCACUUUAAGCAGGGAGGAGAGGCUAAUGGUUAAUACCCAUUAGAUUAGACGUUACCUGCAGAAUAAGCACCGGCUAACUCUGUGCCAGCAGCCGCGGUAAUACAGAGGGUGCGAGCGUUAAUCGGAAUUACUGGGCGUAAAGCGAGUGUAGGUGGCUCAUUAAGUCACAUGUGAAAUCCCCGGGCUUAACCUGGGAACUGCAUGUGAUACUGGUGGUGCUAGAAUAUGUGAGAGGGAAGUAGAAUUCCAGGUGUAGCGGUGAAAUGCGUAGAGAUCUGGAGGAAUACCGAUGGCGAAGGCAGCUUCCUGGCAUAAUAUUGACACUGAGAUUCGAAAGCGUGGGUAGCAAACAGGAUUAGAUACCCUGGUAGUCCACGCCGUAAACGAUGUCUACUAGCCGUUGGGGUCCUUGAGACUUUAGUGGCGCAGUUAACGCGAUAAGUAGACCGCCUGGGGAGUACGGCCGCAAGGUUAAAACUCAAAUGAAUUGACGGGGGCCCGCACAAGCGGUGGAGCAUGUGGUUUAAUUCGAUGCAACGCGAAGAACCUUACCUGGUCUUGACAUAGUGAGAAUCCUGCAGAGAUGCGGGAGUGCCUUCGGGAACUCACAUACAGGUGCUGCAUGGCUGUCGUCAGCUCGUGUCGUGAGAUGUUGGGUUAAGUCCCGCAACGAGCGCAACCCUUUUCCUUAUUUGCCAGCGGGUUAAGCCGGGAACUUUAAGGAUACUGCCAGUGACAAACUGGAGGAAGGCGGGGACGACGUCAAGUCAUCAUGGCCCUUACGACCAGGGCUACACACGUGCUACAAUGGUAGGUACAGAGGGUUGCUACACAGCGAUGUGAUGCUAAUCUCAAAAAGCCUAUCGUAGUCCGGAUUGGAGUCUGCAACUCGACUCCAUGAAGUCGGAAUCGCUAGUAAUCGCAGAUCAGAAUGCUGCGGUGAAUACGUUCCCGGGCCUUGUACACACCGCCCGUCACACCAUGGGAGUCUAUUGCACCAGAAGUAGGUAGCCUAACGCAAGAGGGCGCUACC
rnacentral:rRNA from 1 species